rnacentral:lncRNA from 1 species
UUUUGUGAAUGCAUUGGGAAAUUUAUGUAAGUUGUUUUACUAUGCAGGCUGGAUAAAUAAAUAAAAGCCACGUUAUACUGUCGAAAUUUUAUUAAAAUUGGUGGGUUAGUCACUGCAGUGACGGGUUUCCGUGGACUGCCUAUUAGAGGGGCACGGUAAACCCAGUUAUAUAGUUACUCCGGUUGUAGAGGCGAGGAGGGUAACUCCCGGGGUAGUAUUAGAGCUCACUUCACGUCGAACCCCCACGUGAAUGUGUAACUCGGCCAACGCCAAGGAACGGCUGGUUUUAAAAAUAAAAAUGUGUUUCACGUGUGAAUAUUUUAACACCCUUGGCGGACUCGGUUAGAUGCCUCGGCCAAGGUAUCCCCGAGGAUUAGUUUUGGCUUGAGCCUUGUUUUAAUAAAAGACAUAAGCCUUAACAAUUGUUUUGGUAAAUUACAAAUAUUUUAUGGUUUAAGAAAUAAAUUGAAAACAUUAUGAAAUGGGUUGAAAUUUAUUGUUUAAACUUGCCUCCAUUUUACUCGCCUUUAGAUAUUUAUGAUAAUG